CAUUUAAAGAGUGCGUAAUAGCUCACUAGUCGAGUGACACUGCGCCGAAAAUGUACCGGGGCUAAACAUAUUACCGAAGCUGUGGAUUGUCCUUUGGACAAUGGUAGGAGAGCGUUCUAAGGGCGUCGAAGCAUGAUCGCAAGGACAUGUGGAGCGCUUAGAAGUGAGAAUGCCGGUGUGAGUAGCGAAAGACGGGUGAGAAUCCCGUCCACCGAUUGACUAAGGUUUCCAGAGGAAGGCUCGUCCGCUCU
rnacentral:rRNA from 1 species